rnacentral:rRNA from 1 species
CAGUCGCCACGGUAAUACGUAGGUGGCAAGCGUUAUCCGGAAUUAUUGGGCGUAAAGCGCGCGUAGGCGGUUUUUUAAGUCUGAUGUGAAAGCCCACGGCUCAACCGUGGAGGGUCAUUGGAAACUGGAAAACUUGAGUGCAGAAGAGGAAAGUGGAAUUCCAUGUGUAGCGGUGAAAUGCGCAGAGAUAUGGAGGAACACCAGUGGCGAAGGCGACUUUCUGGUCUGUAACUGACGCUGAUGUGCGAAAGCGUGGGGAUCAAACAGGAUUAGAUACCCCUGUAGUCCCUGUCUCUUAUAA